rnacentral:lncRNA from 9 species
CUCAGGUAGGAGCCAGUGGGAGAGGGUUCCCGGGACACUUGGGUUAGGCCUGCUGCUUGGAGGGUGGGGCGGGUUGAGUGUGCAAUUGCAAAAGAGAAAGAAAUUGGUGUAAAGAUGUUCGUCGCCUAUGUUCCUAAGGAGGGGGAGCAGGUAUGAGAUGCCCGAAUGUUGGCAUCUGUGCUCACGUUGUGUUGGCGGGCCUCAGUCCCUGGAGCAGAGGGAAGGCCUGGGCACCUGGAGGAAAAACCCGGGUGAUGCUGUGUGACCCGCCCGUCACCUCGGGGAAGCCGGGGAAACGGGAGGGCCACUCCUUCUCACGCCUCGCUUCCCCGCGGUGUGUUUCUACAGACUCGGUGGCGGAGCGCACCGACUGCCGCCAGGAUGAGGAGGCUGCAGACUGUUGCUUUGGGAGCAAAGGAUCGUGCUUCAAAAGUCUGAGGACAAGUUUGUCCUCUGCGAGCUUGGCUAGAAUAAUUCCCCGGUGGCCACACAACAGGGUGCACCUUGCCACUGAGCCAGAUGAAGGUACUGUGGGACCUGACUCAGUACAUUCAGGCAUGGACAAUGAUUCUAGUUCAUUCAGUGUUCCAAAUUUCCGAACAAACUCUACACAUGCUAAGCCAUGUCUUUCUUUUACUGCAUGAUGGAAAUUCAAAUGAACUAACUUGGAGUUCCUGUCGUGGCGCAGUGGUUAACGAAUCCGACUAGGAACCAUGAGGUUGCGAGUUUGAUCUCUGGCCUUGCUCAGUGGGUUAAGGAUCCGGGGUUGCCGUGAGCUGUGGUGUAGGUCGCAGAUGCGGUUCGGAUCCCGAGUUGCAGUGGCUCUGGCGUAGGCUAGUGGCUACAACUCUGAUUAGACCCCUGUCCUGGGAACCUCCGUGUGCCAAGGGAAGCGGGCCUAGAAAAGGCAAAAUGGCCAAAAGCCAAGCAAGCAAGCAACCAACCAAAAAGCAAAUUGAAUAACUCCGUUGGUAAUUUCACAACCAUGGAAAUAAUGAUUCAUUUAAACUCAACAUUUGGUUCCUGGUUAAAAGCAAAGGUGACCUCACUCACGUUUUGACGUUCGCUGAUAUUUGAUGUUUCUAGUUGUACUAGAUCCCUCCACGGAACCACAUUUCCCAAUUGGAAAACAAUACUAGACGUGAUUUAGAACAACAAGAUCAUACUAAGAGGAAAUGGUGAACAGAUAUCACAGAAAGCUCCCCUAACCCAUUCCUCCAAUUUCCACCAGUGACAACGUCCGGCACUGAAUGGGGAACUCGUGGUACACUGAGCGGCAAAAGGGUCAUACAGUUUUAAUUAAUGAAAAGUUCCCCGUAUACAUUCAGGUUCAUUUUUUGUGCUGUGACGUUAGUUGAGGUUGGACACAUGCGCAAUAUUACGAGUCCCCAGGAUGUUACCACAGAGACCGUGUACACUCUCAUUUGUAGCAGCGCGUUAUUCCUAACAGCCAAAAGGUGAAACCAAUCCCAAGGGACAGGAAGAGAUCAGGGGAGAGAUCAAAUGCGAUAUGUACCCCGAAGAGAACAGUGUUGCACCAGAAACAAAAUUAAACUAUUAGAUAGGUUAUCACAUGGGGGAUCCAAAAUAAAACACUGUUUAACAGUAGUGACGAGUUCCCAUCGUGGCAUGGCAGAAGUGAGUCCGACCUGGAACCAUGAGAUUGCGGGUUCGAUCCCUGGCCUCCUCGCUCAGUGGGUUAAGGAUCCGGUGAUGCCGUGAGCUGUGGUGUAGGUGGCAGAUGGGGCUGGGAUCCUGCCUUGCUGUGGCUCUGGCGUAAGCCGGCAGCUACAGCGCCGAUGAGACCCCUAGCCUGGGAACCUCCAUAUGCCAUGGGUGUGGCCCUAAGGAAGCGACAAGGAUGACAAGAAAAAAAAAUGGUGAAAUCAGGCAGCACAGCAACAGAGAUAGCGUGCAAUUCAACACAUAGGCGGCAAGUAGACUAGGCAGACUGUCAGAGCUGGAACGGAGAGAUGGCUAAGACCUGGCAGCAGGGCUGAAGGGGGAGUCAGUCACUCCUGCAUGGGUGCAGAGGUCCUGUGAGUCACGACGAGAAAGGUUGAGAAAGGUUGUUAGGGACAGUGGUGCAAAGUACGUAGCAUCGGGAAGGCCUGCUCUCCCUCC